AAUCAACGCUGGCGGCGUGCCUAACACAUGCAAGUCGAACGCGAAAGCCCCGCAAGGGGCAAGUAGAGUGGCAAACGGGUGAGUAACGCGUGGGUGACCUGCCUUCGAGCGGGGGAUAACGUUCCGAAAGGGACGCUAAUACCGCAUAACAUCCUGCCCUUGAACGGGUGGCGAUCAAAGCUGGGGAUUCGCAAGAACCCGGCACUUGAAGAGGGGCCCGCGUCUGAUUAGCUAGNGGUGAGGUAACGGCUCACCAAGGCAACGAUCAGUAUCCGGCCUGAGAGGGCGGACGGACACACUGGGACUGAGACACGGGCCCAGACUCCUACGGGAGGCAGCAGUGGGGAAUUGUUCGCAAUGGGCGCAAGCCUGACGACGCAACGCCGCGUGGAGGAUGAAGAUUUUCGGAUCGUAAACUCCUGUCGAAUGGGACGAAAAGAUUGCGGGUUAACAGCCCGUGGUCCUGACGGUACCGUUAAAGAA
rnacentral:rRNA from 1 species